UACGUAGGGUGCAAGCGUUGUCCGGAAUUAUUGGGCGUAAAGAGCUCGUAGGCGGCUUGUCGCGUCGGCUGUGAAAACCUGGGGCUCAACCCCGGGCCUGCAGUGGGUACGGGCAGACUAGAGUGUGGUAGGGGAGACUGGAAUUCCUGGUGUAGCGGUGAAAUGCGCAGAUAUCAGGAGGAACACCGAUGGCGAAGGCAGGUCUCUGGGCCACUACUGACGCUGAGAAGCGAAAGCAUGGGGAGCGAACAGG
rnacentral:rRNA from 1 species